GACGUAGGGCGCGAGCGUUGUCCGGAUUUAUUGGGCGUAAAGAGCUCGUAGGCGGCUUGUUACGUCGUUCGUGAAAACUUGGGGCUCAACCCCAAGCUUGCGGUCGAUACGGGCAGGCUAGAGUUCGGUAGGGGAGACUGGAAUUCCUGGUGUAGCGGUGAAAUGCGCAGAUAUCAGGAGGAACACCGGUGGCGAAGGCGGAUCUCUGGGCCAUUACUGACGCUGAGGAGCGAAAGCGUGGGGAGCGAACAGG
rnacentral:rRNA from 1 species